CAAUAGUGUAUCUUAAUGUUGUUGCAGUUAAAAAGCUCGUAGUUGAAUUUCUGGCACCCUGGCUGAUCUUCGGAGAUGCAUGGGGUUGUCAUCCGCGUUGGAACCAGGUGCGUGUCAAAACCACCUGAGGAAGGCGCAUUUUACUUUGAAGAAAUUAGAGUGUUCCAGGCAGGCUAUGCUUGAAUAUUACAGCAUGGAAUAAUGGAAUAGGACUUGUCCUUUUCGUUGGUUAAAUGGAUAAGUAAUGAUUAACAGGGACAGUUGGGGGCAUUCGUAUUGGGCAGUCAGAGGUGAAAUUCUUUAAUUUGCUCAAGACGCACUAAUGCGAAAGCAUUUGCCGAGGAUGUUUUCAUUAA
rnacentral:rRNA from 1 species